GACGAACGCUGGCGGCGUGCUUAACACAUGCAAGUCGAACGGAAAGGCCCUGCUUUUGUGGGGUGCUCGAGUGGCGAACGGGUGAGUAACACGUGAGUAACCUGCCCUUGACUUUGGGAUAACUUCAGGAAACUGGGGCUAAUACCGGAUAGGAGCUCCUGCUGCAUGGUGGGGGUUGGAAAGUUUCGGCGGUUGGGGAUGGACUCGCGGCUUAUCAGCUUGUUGGUGGGGUAGUGGCUUACCAAGGCUUUGACGGGUAGCCGGCCUGAGAGGGUGGCCGGCCACAAUGGGACUGAGAUACGGCCCAGACUCCUACGGGAGGCAGCAGUGGAGAAUAUUGCACAAUGGGCGGAAGCCUGACGCAGCAACGCCGCGUGCGGGAUGACGGCCUUCGGGUUGUAAACCGAUUUCGCCUGGGACGAAGCGUGAGUGACGGUAAUGGGUAAAGAAGCACCGGCUAACUACGUG
rnacentral:rRNA from 1 species